rnacentral:rRNA from 1 species
AGAGUUUGAUCCUGGCUCAGAACGAACGCUGGCGGCAUGCUUAACACAUGCAAGUCGAACGAGGGCUUCGGCCCUAGUGGCGCACGGGUGAGUAACGCGUGGGAACCUGCCUCGAGGUUUGGAAUAACUGCGGGAAACUGCAGCUAAUACCGGAUGAGCCGGUUGGGUGUGGAGCCUGGCCGGGAAAGAUUUAUCGCCUU